rnacentral:rRNA from 1 species
CCAAUAGCGUAUAUUAAAGUUGUUGCAGUUAAAAAGCUCGUAGUUGAAUUUCGGGAUCAGUACGCUGGUCGUGCCUUCGGUAUGUACUGGUGUCACUGAUUCCUCCCUUCUGACGAACCGUUAUGCCAUUUAUUUGGUGUGGCGGGGAAUCAGGACUGUUACUUUGAAAAAAUUAGAGUGUUUAAAGCAGGCUCGCGCUUGAAUACAUUAGCAUGGAAUAAUGAAAUAGGACGUUUGAUUCUAUUUUGUUGGUUUCUAGGAUCGACGUAAUGAUUAAUAGGGAUAGUUGGGGGCAUUAGUAUUCAAUUGUCAGAGGUGAAAUUCUUGGAUUUAUUGAAGACUAACUACUGCGAAAGCAUUUGCCAAGGAUGUUUUCAUUAAUCAAGAACGAAAGUUAGGGGAUCGAAGACGAUCAGAUACCGUCGUAGUCUUAACCACAAACUAUGCCGACUAGGGAUCGGAUGAUGUUAAUUUUUUUAAUGACUCAUUCGGCGCCUUACG